AUUUUAAAUGAAAGGUUUUGACAUCAUAUGUGGGGGAUAGGGUCAGUAAAUUUGAGUAAAAUACAGACUUUGCUUAUCCCGUGUAAAUGGGCCACACGAAACACAGACCUGGGGGGUGGGGGGGUGUAAAUCCCCUGAGGUCCCCUGGUAAUACUAGUCU